rnacentral:sRNA from 1 species
GAACAUUUUCAUCUUCCAGUUGCAGCUGGCGUGGGGCUCUCGCCUGUGAUCCCAGUACUUAAGAGGCUGAUGGGGGAGAAGCACUUUAGGCCAGGAGUUCAAGACCAGCCUGGGCCACGUAGUGAGACCCCCCCCAUCUCUACAAAAAAUAAAAAAAUCUUCCAGUUGCUCCAUGUGGAGCCCCUCUAGAUUGUCAGUGAUAGAAACCACUUCAAACUGGCUCAGACCUAAAAUAGCGAUGAUUUUGUGGCUCACGUAACUGAGGAUUCCAAUGGGCACAGCUGGUUGCAGGCCCCGCUGGACCCAGUUCUCUGCCAGCCCCAGGCCACUUUCUGGCAGCUUCCCACCCAGUGUCAGAGCCUGUCCCCACGGUGGUGUCUCACACCAUCUUCACCCCUCAAUUCCAGGGAUGAUGCUUCCUGGCCCAGCUGGGCUCCAGUGCCUUCCCUGAACCACCCUCAGUGACCAGGGUGGGUGACCAGACCUGGGGUGGGGUUGCCCUGCUGGAGUCCUGUGGAAGGAGGGGAGAAGGUGGCUCCUGUGCUGGGUGGGCAGGGGGCACGUCUUGUGGAGUCCAGCUCUGUCCUGGCUUCAGUCCCUGCCCCACACAACCUUAAAAUUCCUUCCCACCCUCAAAGCCCAGCUUGGGUGUCCUCGGGGGCCUUUCUCCCCCCUUCCAGGGGGCUUCCUGCUCUGCCGCAGGUACCUUUUGUUGCCCUUGUCGCAGGCCACAAGCUCUGCAGGCCGUGAACAGAGAGUGUCCGAGAGCGGAACUAGUGGAGGUGGGGGACAGAUGGCUGGGCUGGUGAAUGCUGGCCUCGAAGGCUGAUGGCCCAGAAGCCCUGUCAUCUGGAAAUCCCCAUUUGCCGUGGGGUGUGGGACGUUCCCGGGGCGGUGAGCUGUCAAGGAGCACAGCGCAGGCAGCUCUGAGGACCCUCCCCGAAUCCGCAUGCCUGCAGCCUACACCCUGGCCCGUGUCUAUGGCGUGGAGAGUGACCUCUCAGAAGUGGCUCGCCGGGGCUCCGGCAGCGCCUGCCGGAGCCUGUAUGGGGGCUUUGUGGAGUGGCAGAUGGGAGAGCAGGCUGACGGGAAGGACAGCAUCGCCUGGCAAGUGGCCCCCGAGUCACACUGGCCUGAACUCCGCGUGCUCAUCCUUGUGGUGAGCGCUGAGAAGAAGCUGACAGGCAGUACUGUGGGCAUGCGGGCCAGUGUGGAGACCAGCCCCCUGCUGCGGUUCCGGGCUGACUCCGUGGUGCCCGCGCGUGUGGCGGAGAUGGCCCGCUGCAUCCGGGAGCGAGACUUCCCCAGCUUCGCCCAGCUGACCAUGAAGGACAGCAACCAGUUCCACGCCACCUGCCUCGACACCUUCCCACCCAUCUCUUACCUCAAUGCCAUCUCCUGGCGCAUCAUCCACCUGGUGCACCGCUUCAACGCCCACCACGGGGACACCAAGGUGGCGUACACCUUUGACGCAGGCCCCAAUGCCGUGAUUUUCGCCCUGGACGACACUGUGGCUGAGUUUGUGGCUGCUGUGAGGCACAGCUUUCCCCCAGGCUCGAAUGGAGACACGUUUCUGAAGGGGCUGCAGGUGAGGCCGGCCCCUCUCUCAGCUGAGCUUCAGGCUGCGCUGGCCAUGGAGCCGACCCCCGGUGGGGUCAAAUACAUCAUUGCCACUCAGGUGGGGCCAGGGCCUCAAAUCCUGGAUGACCCCUGCGCCCACCUUCUGGGUCCUGAUGGCCUGCCGAAGCCAGCUGCCUGACUGCCUCAGCAGGGACCGCACGCCGCUUGGAGAAGGGGUGGCCUCGCCAGAGCUAGGGAGCGGGUGUGGUGGGCUGGCCGGACUACUGGGACAUGUGGGUGGUGGCUUGAUCCCGGGCCCAUGGACAGCUUGCUGUGGGGCAGUGCAGGGAGUCCUGCGGCCGCCCAGGUGUCAGGAGAGGUCCCCGCCGAGUGCUUCAGCUGCCCUAAGCUGCACCAGCGCCUUGCCAAGAUGGGAUGGGGUGGGGGUAUGAGAACUGGCAGAGCCUCGGUGCAGCAGGGCUGAAGGGCUUUCUCACCCCGCUCUGGCUACGCCCAGUUCUCUGAGACAGGAGCUCAGUGGGGAGGUGGUGUCCCUCCAACGGACCAGGGAAGGGGUCACUGUGCUGGGAGCAGCCUCCUUGGGCCUCAGGAAACCACCAAGUGCCUCAGAUGGUGGCUGCCCACGGCACUUCUGCUGAGACCCUGCCCCAGGCCUAGGUGUGGCUGGAAUGGUGGCAGGAGUGGGCACCAGUGCGGCCCCGGUGGCCGUGGGGAAUAAACUAGCAUUGCUGCCUCCUG